rnacentral:rRNA from 1 species
CCUACGGGAGGCAGCAGUGGGGAAUAUUGCACAAUGGGGGAAACCCUGAUGCAGCGACGCCGCGUGAGUGAAGAAGUAUUUCGGUAUGUAAAGCUCUAUCAGCAGGAACGAGACAAGACGGUACCUGACUAAGAAGCCCCGGCUAACUACGUGCCAGCAGCCGCGGUAAUACGUAGGGGGCAAGCGUUAUCCGGAAUCACUGGGGGUAAAGGGAGCGUAGACGGCUGUGCAAGCCUGAAGUGAAAGGCGGGGGCCCAACCCCUGGACUGCUUUGGGAACUGUACGGCUGGAGGGCAGGAGAGGUAAGUGGAAUUCCUAGUGUAGCGGUGAAAUGCGUAGAUAUUAGGAGGAACACCAGUGGCGAAGGCGGCUUACUGGACUGUAACUGACGUUGAGGCUCGAAAGCGUGGGGAGCAAACAGGAUUAGAUACCCCUGUAGUC